rnacentral:sRNA from 1 species
UUUACGGUAACCACUUACCAUCAGGUAUGC